rnacentral:tRNA from 1 species
CUGUUUUUAUGGUGUAAAACAUAUUACAUUUUCAUUGUAAAGCUGAAGAAAGAUUCUUCUAAAAA